rnacentral:rRNA from 1 species
AGCGGCGGAUGGGUGAGUAACACGUGGGGAACCUGCCCCUAAGUCUGGGAUACCAUUUGGAAACAGGUGCUAAUACCGGAUAAUAAAGCAGAUCGCAUGAUCAGCUUUUGAAAGGCGGCGUAAGCUGUCGCUAAGGGAUGGCCCCGCGGUGCAUUAGCUAGUUGGUAAGGUAACGGCUUACCAAGGCGACGAUGCAUAGCCGAGUUGAGAGACUGAUCGGCCACAUUGGGACUGAGACACGGCCCAAACUCCUACGGGAGGCAGCAGUAGGGAAUCUUCCACAAUGGACGCAAGUCUGAUGGAGCAACGCCGCGUGAGUGAAGAAGGUUUUCGGAUCGUAAAGCUCUGUUGUUGGUGAAGAAGGAUAGAGGUAGUAACUGGCCUUUAUUUGACGGUAAUCAACCAGAAAGUCACGGCUAAUUACGUGCCAGCAGCCGCGGUAAUACGUAGGUGGCAAGCGUUGUCCGGAUUUAUUGGGCGUAAAGCGAGCGCAGGCGGAAAAAUAAGUCUAAUGUGAAAGCCCUCGGCUUAACCGAGGAACUGCAUCGGAAACUGUUUUUCUUGAGUGCAGAAGAGGAGAGUGGAACUCCAUGUGUAGCGGUGGAAUGCGUAGAUAUAUGGAAGAACACCAGUGGCGAAGGCGGCUCUCUGGUCUGCAACUGACGCUGAGGCUCGAAAGCAUGGGUAGCGAACAGGAUUAGAUACCCUGGUAGUCCAUGCCGUAAACGAUGAGUGCUAAGUGC